UCCGGUUUGUCACCGGCAGUCUCCUAUGAGUCCCCGUCUUUCACGCUGGCAACAUAGGACAGGGGUUGUGCUCGUUGCGGGACUUAACCCAACAUCUCACGACACGAGCUGACGACAGCCAUGCACCACCUGUACACCGGUAUCAAAGAGACCCCCAUCUCUGGAGGCUUCCGGCGUAUGUCAAACCCAGGUAAGGUUCUUCGCGUUGCAUCGAAUUAAUCCGCAUGCUCCGCCGCUUGUGCGGGCCCCCGCCAAUUCCUUUGAGUUUCAGCCUUGCGGCCGUACUCCCCAGGCGGGGCACUUAGCGCGUUAGCUACGGCACCGAAGGGGUCGCUCCCCCCAGCGCCUAGUGCCCAUCGUUUACAGCGUGGACUAC
rnacentral:misc_RNA from 1 species